GACGAACGCUGGCGGCGUGCUUAACACAUGCAAGUCGAACGGUAAGGCCCUUCGGGGUACACGAGUGGCGAACGGGUGAGUAACACGUGGGUGAUCUGCCCUGCACUUCGGGAUAAGCCUGGGAAACUGGGUCUAAUACCGGAUAGGACUCCUGGCUUCAUGGUUGGGGGUGGAAAGCCUUUGCGGUGUGGGAUGGGCCCGCGGCCUAUCAGCUUGUUGGUGGGGUAAUGGCCUACCAAGGCGACGACGGGUAGCCGGCCUGGGAGGGUGACCGGUGACACUGGGACUGAGAUACGGCCCAGACUCCUACGGGAGGCAGCAGUGGGGAAUAUUGCGCAAUGGGCGCAAGCCUGAUGCAGCGACGCCGCGUGAGGGAUGACGGCCUUCGGGUUGUAAACCUCUUUCAGCUAUGACGAAGCGCAAGUGACGGUAGUAGCAGAAGAAGGACCGGCCAACUACGUGCCAGCAGCCGCCGUAA
rnacentral:rRNA from 1 species